UUUAAAUGUAAAAUAAAUAUACUAAAGUAGUAUUAGUUAUGUUCUUGAAAUUUAAAGAUUUUGGCGGUAUUUUAGUCUAUUUAGAGGAGCCUGUUCUGUAAUUGAUGAUCCACGAUUAAUUUUACUUAAUUUCUAUAAAUUUGUAUACCGUCGUUAUAAGAAGAUUUUAAAAGAAUAUAAAUUUUUAAUAUUUUAUAUAAAAAAGUAUAUCAGAUCAAGGUGCAGUUUAUAAUUAAGGAGAAAUGGGCUACAAUAAAUUUAUUUAUACGGAUUAAAAUAAGAAUAUGAUUUUAUGAAGGUGGAUUUAAUAGUAAUAAGGUUUAUUUAAAUUUUAUGAUUUUAGCUCUAAAAUAUG
rnacentral:rRNA from 2 species